CUCAAACUUGUGAUCCUCCUGCCUCAGCCUCCUCAACUGCUGGGAGUACAGGCCUAUGUCACUAUACCUAGGAUGGCUCAAUUUUCAAGUAACAAUUGUCUCCAAUAUUCAACUAAGAACACAAGUAAGCCCACCACUUUUUUUGAAAUUAAUAAUAUAUAUAUCUGUUCAUUUUAGGAAAGUCAAAUGAUCUCAAUGCAAGGUAUUAUGAGCUAUCCAAAUUAUGAAAACAAAGGACUGGACUAACUUUGACUUUGAUCUUCUUCCCAAAGUUACUGAAGAUGGAGAAAGCCUGAAAAGAAGGCACAGAUCCACAAGGGCAGAGAGAAGGGCAGAGGUCACUGCAUCUUGGGUGCUGGAGAUGAGACAGACAAGGGUAAAGGAUUCAGUGUCACAGAGAGAGCAGGACCUUUCUCCUGCACUGGGCAGGCUCUGGGAUAGCCUGGUGCAGCGGAAGAUGCCAGGAAGGCCCAGGACCGCCAGCACCUGUAUCCUGGAAGUCAGGGAUGCUGCACUCGGGACUGUUAGGGAGCUCCUAUGGGAAGCCUGCAAACCCGAGUCCCAGGGCCUUGCAGCACACCGUGCUGCCCUUGACCUGCACAAGCCUGCCUGUCCACUCCCUGCUGAGGGCAGCUGAGUCGAUGGAGCAGCAGGGCCCUGGGGUCUGCCUAGGAGCUGACCUGUGCUGCUCAUCUUCCCCAGGAACAUCGGCAUCCAUGCACACACCUCCAGGUCAGGGACCCAACGGUCUCCAGAGAAAUUCCAGCCCAAGACAAAAGAAAAUCCUGGGUGAAAUGGCCCAGGUGACUCGUAGCUACCUUCUGGAACCCCCAGGCACCUGCCUGUCCCCCGCCCACCCCCGGUGUUCCUAUCAGCUCUUCAGUACAUUCUUUUAAGAACAUGCAGCCAACAAUCAGAGACUUGAAGAAAGAGAGCUCCUGACAAGAGGAGAAGAGAUCAAGUUCAAGUGCAAAACAGAGGGGGGAAAAAAAAGGAAGAAAAGAGGAAAACUAUGUAAAGAUGAAAAUUAAAAUUCCCCAAACCUGCUUUUAUCCUCAAAAAAUAAAGGGAAAUAUUAUCCCUAAGAAAUUUAAAAAAAAAAAGGAAAAACAAAAAGAGAUAUUCUUGGAAUGAAAACAGGUCUUAAAUCCUAAAAAAUAUGAACAUAGAAAUAAAAAUCUUAGUGGAGAUGAUGGAAGAAGAAUAGAACCAUCUCCCAGGUAACAAAUAGAAAAUGAAGGGAAGUGGGACAGAAAAGCAGAGAGCAUGAGAGGAUUACCCCAGGGGUCAGGCACCUGAACAGAGGAAUCCAUCCCGUGGGGAUCAGGGAAACCAAGAAGCACAUUGCCAAACCUGAGUUUCCAGUCGGAGGGAACUUGCUGAGUUCCCUGCAGAGUGAAAAAAGACCCUCCCCAAAGCACAGAUCCUAAAAUGUCAAAAUGCACAGAUGGAGGAAGAUCCCAAAAUCUUACAGUGAGGAAAAAGGAUCUCAAGCUAAGAGCCAAGAACCUUAGACACUCCACAUGAAAUAAGAGGUGUUUUGAGUCCCAAGACUGGGAAUCCGUGUCUCACUUAGACCCUGGCUAGUCCCAGGAGGCUGAGCACUCAAGGGAAGGGUGAACAGAUUGUGUUUUCAGUCAUGCAAGUUCCUGAGGAGCUCACUUUACAAAUACCUUUUCUCAGAAAGCUACUGUGGAAUGUACUCCAGCAAAACAAAGGAAUAUAUCAAGAGGAUACUGGAUCAAGGUCAAAAGGAUGUCCCUAAACACAUGGUAUCUUGAGACUACAGGGGACAGUAGCCUUGGGAACAGAAAAGGGAAUAACUGGCAAAGGGCUCCAGAAGGCUAUAUUUCAAGGGGGAAAAAUGAAACUGAAAGAAUAUUUGGUGCUUUUAAAAAGUAUUAACGAAAGGUUUAUAUUUCUGGUGAAGGGUUUUGGAAUGAAUUUGUAAAAUGUACCAAAAAAAAAAAAAAUCUGAAAACUGCAAUAACUUACAAUGAAGCAGAUAAUGUCUAUUUCUAGAAUGAAAUAACUUUGUCUUCAGAAAAAAAUUAGUGUAUUUUUGUUGUUAAUUAUGUAAAUGUCGAAUGCAAAUCUUACUUCAAAGUCAUUAAAAGGUGAAAGUACUGAACAUUUUUUAUCAGAAUGGGCAACUAUAUCCUGGUAAAUUCAUAAUUCAAAUAUAAAAAAAUUAUAAUCAUCAAUGGGAAAACAUAAGACAGAAUUAUGAAUCAGUUACAUAUGAUAAAAAAUUUGUCAUUUACUCUUGGGGAAAAACUUAUUAAAAAA
rnacentral:lncRNA from 1 species